GGGCGUCAAUAACUUCCCGACUCUCUUGCCCAGAGGUAGAGGGAGGGACUUGGCGGGGACGUCUGGGCUGGGGCUGGACAAUACGGGGUGGACUGGCCAGUGGUAGGGGGGCCUGGGCCAGUGUGGAGUCAUCUGGGUCCUCAGGCGUUGGAGCAGGACUUGCUUGGGUUGAAAA